CUCCUGGUCCUGUGACCUGCAAGAUAGAAAGCAACAUAUGCCCCCAGGUGGCCUCCCUCACCCUGGCAAUGGAAAUGAACAGCCGAGCUUCACCGGACAGGACUAGAAAUCGUUCCUCCACCCACCCAGAGACAAAGCGUAUUUGACUUCUUCCUCUACUGGGGCCCUUGCAAGAUUCCAGCUGGUAUGAGCCUUCUGCAGAGCUAGUGCAGACUAGGAUGGCUGUAUCACUAACAGCAGCUGAAACUCUGGCCCUUCAGGGUACACAGGGACAAGAGAAGAUGAUGAUGAUGGGACCAAAGGAAGAGGAACAGUCUUGUCCCAGGCCCUGCACAUGGACCUGCACAGGAAGAGCCAUGGGAGAAGAAGGAGUCUCUGGGAGCAGCCCAGGAAGCACUGAGCAUCCAGCUCCAGCCUAAGGAGACCCAGCCUUUCCCAAAGAGUGAACAGGUAUAUUUACAUUUUCUGUCAGUUGUUACAGAAGAUGGCCCAGAGCCCAAGGACAAAGGAUCAUUGCCACAACCACCCAUUACUGAAGUGGAAUCACAGGUGUUCUCAGAAAAACUUGCUACUG
rnacentral:sRNA from 1 species